UUAACGUAGACGUGGCCGACGCGGGUGAAAGUGUAGUGUCUGUUAUCAGCUUAAUAUCUGAUACGGGUUCUGUUUGGACCCAAGAUGUUAAACUUGUUUUUGCAAGUUGGCGGAGUGCUUGAAGCCGGCUUCACCUCCGCCGCGGGUGGGCCCGGUAUUGCACUAUCUCCGAGAUCGGCCCACGGUUU